rnacentral:snRNA from 1 species
GGAUGAGAGGAACAUCUGGCUGUCACACCUGUCACCCCAUUGAUCACCAGUGUUAACUCCAGUCAGCUGAUCUAGCUGGUGGGCAGGUGUCCCCUUCUUCCUUACUGCUCCACAUGCUCCAUGUGCCUCCCUCCCAAAACUGAGCACCAGUCAGAAAGGACAACAUUUCCCCUACUAGAGAUGGACCUUUUUUAAAAAUUUCUUUAUCGGGGAAUUAAUGUUUUACAUUCAACAGUAAAUACAAUAGUUUUUAUAUGCAUAACAUUU